rnacentral:rRNA from 1 species
UUGAACGCUGGCGGCAGGCCUAACACAUGCAAGUCGAGCGGUAGCACAGAGAGCUUGCUCUCGGGUGACGAGCGGCGGACGGGUGAGUAAUGUCUGGGAAACUGCCUGAUGGAGGGGGAUAACUACUGGAAACGGUAGCUAAUACCGCAUAACGUCGCAAGACCAAAGUGGGGGACCUUCGGGCCUCAUGCCAUCAGAUGUGCCCAGAUGGGAUUAGCUAGUAGGUGGGGUAACGGCUCACCUAGGCGACGAUCCCUAGCUGGUCUGAGAGGAUGACCAGCCACACUGGAACUGAGACACGGUCCAGACUCCUACGGGAGGCAGCAGUGGGGAAUAUUGCACAAUGGGCGCAAGCCUGAUGCAGCCAUGCCGCGUGUGUGAAGAAGGCCUUCGGGUUGUAAAGCACUUUCAGCGGGGAGGAAGGCGGUGAGGUUAAUAACCUCAUCGAUUGACGUUACCCGCAGAAGAAGCACCGGCUAACUCCGUGCCAGCAGCCGCGGUAAUACGGAGGGUGCAAGCGUUAAUCGGAAUUACUGGGCGUAAAGCGCACGCAGGCGGUCUGUCAAGUCGGAUGUGAAAUCCCCGGGCUCAACCUGGGAACUGCAUUCGAAACUGGCAGGCUAGAGUCUUGUAGAGGGGGGUAGAAUUCCAGGUGUAGCGGUGAAAUGCGUAGAGAUCUGGAGGAAUACCGGUGGCGAAGGCGGCCCCCUGGACAAAGACUGACGCUCAGGUGCGAAAGCGUGGGGAGCAAACAGGAUUAGAUACCCUGGUAGUCCACGCCGUAAACGAUGUCGAUUUGGAGGUUGUGCCCUUGAGGCGUGGCUUCCGGAGCUAACGCGUUAAAUCGACCGCCUGGGGAGUACGGCCGCAAGGUUAAAACUCAAAUGAAUUGACGGGGGCCCGCACAAGCGGUGGAGCAUGUGGUUUAAUUCGAUGCAACGCGAAGAACCUUACCUGGUCUUGACAUCCACAGAACUUUCCAGAGAUGGAUUGGUGCCUUCGGGAACUGUGAGACAGGUGCUGCAUGGCUGUCGUCAGCUCGUGUUGUGAAAUGUUGGGUUAAGUCCCGCAACGAGCGCAACCCUUAUCCUUUGUUGCCAGCGGUUAGGCCGGGAACUCAAAGGAGACUGCCAGUGAUAAACUGGAGGAAGGUGGGGAUGACGUCAAGUCAUCAUGGCCCUUACGACCAGGGUUACACACGUGCUACAAUGGCAUAUACAAAGAGAAGCGACCUCGCGAGAGCAAGCGGACCUCAUAAAGUAUGUCGUAGUCCGGAUUGGAGUCUGCAACUCGACUCCAUGAAGUCGGAAUCGCUAGUAAUCGUAGAUCAGAAUGCUACGGUGAAUACGUUCCCGGGCCUUGUACACACCGCCCGUCACACCAUGGGAGUGGGUUGCAAAAGAAGUAGGUAGCUUAACCUUCGGGAGGGCGCUUACCACUUUGUGAUUCAUGACUGGGGUG